rnacentral:rRNA from 1 species
CCCGAGUUCCCUGGAACGGGACGCCACAGAGGGUGAGAGCCCCGUCUGGCUGGCCGCCGAGCCUCUGUAAAGCUCCUUCGACGAGUCGAGUAGUUUGGGAAUGCUGCUCAAAAUGGGAGGUAUAUGUCUUCUAAAGCUAAAUAUUGGCCAGAGACCGAUAGCGCACAAGUAGAGUGAUCGAAAGAUGAAAAGCACCUUGAAAAGAGGGUUAAAUAGUACGUGAAAUUGUUGAAAGGGAAGCGCUUGUGACCAGACUUGGGCGCGGCGGAUCAUCCGGGGUUCUCUCCGGUGCACUUCGCCGCGUCUAGGCCAGCAUCAGUUCGUCGCGGGGGAAAAAGGCUUCGGGAACGUGGCUCCUCCGGGAGUGUUAUAGCCCGUUGCAUAAUACCCUGCGGUGGACUGAGGACCGCGCAUCUGCAAGGAUGCUGGCGUAAUGGUCACCAGCGACCCGUCUUGAAACACGGACCAAGGAGUCGUCUUCGUAUGCGAGUGUUCGGGUGUCAAACCCCUACGCGUAAUGAAAGUGAACGCAGGUGAGAGCUUCGGCGCAUCAUCGACCGAUCCUGAUGUUCUCGGAUGGAUUUGAGUAAGAGCAUACGGGGCCGGACCCGAAAGAAGGUGAACUAUGCCUGUAUAGGGUGAAGCCAGAGGAAACUCUGGUGGAGGCUCGCAGCGGUUCUGACGUGCAAAUCGAUCGUCAAAUAUGGGCAUGGGGGCGAAAGACUAAUCGAACCUUCUAGUAGCUGGUUUCCGCCGAAGUUUCCCUCAGGAUAGCAGUGUUGAGCUCAGUUU